rnacentral:rRNA from 1 species
GUGAACGUUGGCGGCGUGGAUUAGGCAUGCAAGUCGCGCGGAAAGGCCCCGCAAGGGGUGCUCGAGCGGCGAAAGGGAUAGUAACACGUAGGUACCUACCCUUGGGACGGGGAUAGCUGCGGGAAACUGCAAUUAAUACCCGAUGACGUCUGAGGACCAAAGGAUUUCCGCAAGGAAUUCCACCUGGGGAUGGGCCUGCGUCCUAUUAGCUAGUUGGUGAGGUAACGGCUCACCAAGGCUGAGAUGGGUAGCGGGUGUGAGAGCACGACCCGCAUCACUGGGACUGAGACACUGCCCAGACACCUACGGGUGGCUGCAGUCGAGAAUCUUCGGCAAUGGGCGCAAGCCUGACCGAGCGACGCCGCGUGCGGGAUGAAGGCCCUCGGGUUGUAAACCGCUGUCGUAGGGGAGGAAGACAUGGUUUCCAUGUUUGACCUAUCCUAGGAGGAAGGACGGGCUAAGUUCGU